UACAGAGGGUGCAAGCGUUAAUCGGAAUUACUGGGCGUAAAGGGUGCGUAGGUGGUUAUAUAAGUUGGGUGUGAAAGUCCUGGGCUUAACCUGGGGAUUGCGCUCAAUACUGUAUAGCUAGAGUACUGUAGAGGAAGGUGGAAUUUCCAGUGUAGCGGUGAAAUGCGUAGAUAUUGGAAGGAACAUCAGUGGCGAAGGCGGCUACCUGGACCAGCACUGACACUGAAGCACGAAAGCGUGGGGAGCAAACAGG
rnacentral:rRNA from 1 species